rnacentral:rRNA from 1 species
UACGGAGGGUGCAAGCGUUAUCCGGAAUUAUUGGGCGUAAAGCGUCCGCAGGUGGCAAUGUAAGUCUGCUGUUAAAGAGUCUAGCUCAACUAGAUACAAGCAGUGGAAACUACAUAGCUAGAGUACGUUCGGGGCAGAGGGAAUUCCUGGUGUAGCGGUGAAAUGCGUAGAGAUCAGGAAGAACACCGGUGGCGAAGGCGCUCUGCUAGGCCGUAACUGACACUGAGGGACGAAAGCUAGGGGAGCGAAUGGG